rnacentral:misc_RNA from 1 species
GAUUUGAUCCAAUUGUGUUUGAGUCAGAGAGUGGCAUUGGAGGUGUUUGGAGAAAGACCAUUGAGAGCACUAAGCUGCAGACACCAAAAUCGUUUUACCAGUUCUCUGAUUUCCCCUGGCCUGAUUCCGUAACCGAAAUGCUCCCUCACCAAAAAACGGUGCUGGAGUACAUUGAAUCGUACGCAACUCACUUUGAUUUGGUCCGACACAUUAAGUUCAAUAGCAAAGUGUUGAGCCUAAGCUAUGAAGAUGACAGCAGCUCUGGAGAAUGGAAUUUGUGUAAAGGCAAGUGGAACGUCACCGUACAGCACACUUCUACACAGGCAAGUACAACGCUUAAUUACCAAAUUAAGAAAAUUUCGACCUAAACACUUUUACUUUUUACUUGUGAAAACGAGAUGUAUAGAAAGAAAUAUUGAAAUUUUUUUGUUGCAUGCAGGUAUACCAAGUUGAUUUUGUAGUAGUUUGCUUGGGAAGGUUCAGCCAGCUCCCAAACAUGCCUGAAUUUCGUCCAAACAAUGGACCUGAAGCUUUUGAGGGGCAAGUAAUCCAUUCAAUGGACCAUUCCAAGAUGGACACCAAAAC